rnacentral:tRNA from 1 species
GAAGGCGUUGGUAGGAGCAGUCGACUCAUAAUCGAUUGGUCGUAGGUUCAAGUCCUACUGGGCCCACCA